rnacentral:rRNA from 1 species
UAGGUCCCAAGGGUUGGGCUGUUCGCCCAUUAAAGUGGUACGCGAGCUGGGUUCAGAACGUCGUGAGACAGUUCGGUCCCUAUCCGUCGCAGGCGUAGGAAAUUUGAGAAGACCUGUCCUUAGUACGGGAGGACCGGGAUGGACGUACCUCUGGUGUACCAGUUGUCCUGCCAAGGGCAUGGCUGGGUAGCUAUGUACGGAAUGGAUAAGCGCUGAAAGCAUCUAAGCGCGAAG